GACAGAGGCCUCAAGCGUUAGGCGGAAUCACUGGGCUUAAAGCGUGUGUAGGCGGAUCGUUAAGUGUCUUGUGAAAUCCCACGGCUCAACCGUGGAACUGCUGGGUAUACUGGUUGUCUUGAGCCAGCUAGGGGCGAGCGGAACAGACGGUGGAGCGGUGAAAUGCGUAGAUAUCGUCUGGAACGCCGAAGGUGAAAACAGCUCGCUGGGGCUGCGCUGACGCUGAGACACGAAAGCCAGGGGAGCGAACGGG
rnacentral:rRNA from 1 species